rnacentral:rRNA from 1 species
UACGGAGGGUGCAAGCGUUACUCGGAAUCACUGGGCGUAAAGGACGCGUAGGCGGAUUAUCAAGUCUCUUGUGAAAUCCUAUGGCUUAACCAUAGAACUGCUUGGGAAACUGGUAAUCUAGAGUGAGGGAGAGGCAGAUGGAAUUGGUGGUGUAGGGGUAAAAUCCGUAGAGAUCACCAGGAAUACCCAUUGCGAAGGCGAUCUGCUGGAACUCAACUGACGCUAAUGCGUGAAAGCGUGGGGAGCAAACAGG